CACUGGUUUUAGCUUCGGUG
rnacentral:miRNA from 1 species